rnacentral:rRNA from 1 species
UACGAAGGGGGCUAGCGUUGUUCGGAAUUACUGGGCGUAAAGCGCGCGUAGGCGGUGAUCUUUGUCAGAGGUGAAAGCCCGGGGCUCAACUCCGGAAUUGCCUUUGAAACGGGAUUGCUAGAGUCCGAGAGAGGAUGGCGGAAUUCCUAGUGUAGAGGUGAAAUUCGUAGAUAUUAGGAAGAACACCGGUGGCGAAGGCGGCCAUCUGGCUCGGUACCGACGCUCAGGC